UGCCACUGCUCCAGUGAUGGCCUCAACACCAUUUAUUAUUCGUCUCCGACUGGAGAUGUCACCUUUAGCAUACACUAUGGACAUCUGUAUACUUAGAUCUAUUUCUGGACUUUCUAUUUAAUUUUCCAUUUUUGGAUGUCGUUAUCAAGAAUGAAUGUUGAUUUUUUUUCCAAUGCCUUUUCAGCUUAGAUGGAGAUGGUCAUACGACUUUUCUCCUCCUGCUGAAUCACUCUUUGCCUGCCUGGAAUAAGCUCCCUUUGAUCAUGUUAUCUCAUUAUUUUAAUGUGCUGUGGAACUCUUCUGGCUGUUAUUUAACUUAGGAUUGUCCCUCAACAUCUCAGGUUGGUGGGCAUCGCAAGAUGUUCCUGUCUUCAAAGAAUUGCCCUUGGCCAAAUGGAAGCAGCCUGGGCCAAUCAAUCAUUUACACAUUCCCAACUGGAGACAGCUCACAACUCAUAACUUGCUGGCAUGGGAGCGCAGAGGUCUAGCCCUUGGCUUCAAGACUGAAUAGAGGCCUUGGCCUAUUUUCUCGUAAGGAACACAGUACAACAUGCUCUGGUGUCUGUCUUCCUGAUCCUGCUCCUGUGUCACCCAAUGCUGGAGUCUCAGUGCCUGGGUCAGCUGAGAGGGGGACCCUGCUCCCCUCCACCUCACCUCCUACUCAUCACCUCUGACGCUGGACCUUUAUGUGGAGAUAAACAAUAAGUAAGAUGAGCCAUAAACUGUAUCCUCUCUCCGUCCCACUUUUACCCUCAUCAAGGCAGUAUGUGAGACCACCAGGGCAUUCUGACCAUCCCAUCUCAUGGCGUACCCAUAACCCAGUUCUUGAUUCAGAUAUAAAACUGAUCAGGAGGCAUGGCCUCAAAAUCCAAAUAGAUAGUGGAUUCUACCAUGGCAAGUGGGGUGCAUCAAGAAGGAAGCUGCUGUAGAAGAGCAUGGAGAUGAGCACGAGCCCUGCGAUCCGGCUUGAGGGUCUCACUUCUGCCACAGAGCAGCUUUGACAAAAGGGCACAGUACACUACUUCUCCGAGCUUCUGUUUUCUCAUCUGAGAAUACAGAUAACAAUGCCGAUACCACAAGUGCUUGAGGAUCAGGUGAAUGCAUUUUAAAGCGGCAGAUUCUUGGCCACUUGCCCUACAAUGUUUUUAAAAGGAGUCUGGGGCAGGAAACAAAACUGGACAGGUGCUUACAAUUGAGUCGACAAGCGCUCACUUGCCAUUUCUAUUUUAAAAGCCAUCUUCCUCUUGAGAUUUUCUCCUUUAACAGACAAAAAUAUCCAUAACUUUUCUCUGAUGUUCCAUAUGCCUUUGAGACUAUUCUUAAUUAUUUAGGCCCUAUAGCUAAGGCCAUUAUAAUUUUUCUUAGAUCUUUUAACAUUUUCUGUUUGAGAAUUUUAUCAACCUUAGGAUUUCUAUGAACAUAUUUGAUGGAGUAAAUUAAUGAUGCUUGCCAGAGGUGAGGUGUCCUCUUAUCUAGUACAUGAAUUAAACUCCACUUGUAAAAUGAUGAAAUUUUCUCUUUCUUAUCAUUCUUCAAAAACAGAACACUCUUCCUUCUUUCCCUGCAAUACCCUCACAGACGGUGAAUCCCAGUUCCUCCGCCUCCUUCCAAGCACCGAGACAGCCCUGAACAGAUUGUGAAGCCUGCUUUGGGAAAGGAAACCAGCAAGUCUCAGCCUCAUGGCUUAAGCAGGGAUUCAGGCUCUCAUGCAGGAGGCAUGAUUGCCAGCGAAGCACCAGGCAUGCUGCUGGUGGCUCUGUGACAGAAGCAACACAGCAUGUCUCCAGCGUCCAACACGUGGCAUUCCCUCAGGCUGGCCUGCUUGCCCCCACACCCCUCAUCCCGCAUCCCCAUCUGGUCGCUCAUCACAAUGGCUCUGCUGACUUCAUGCUCAAUGUCUUGGGCCUUCCUGCUGUGGGCCAUGGGACCUUAUUUAGAGCCAUUUCUUCCCACCAAGGAGUUAAGCAUACAUAUUUUCAACAAUACAACCAUCUGGACAUCUGACACCAGUCACCAAGUAAUUAGUGGGGAAUGUUACAGCAUAUCCAGAGAUAUUUAAUAAAUAUUUCUUGAAUGAAUUAAGGAGGCUCAGCAACUCCACAUAUGCUCACACCAGAAGAGGAUGACAGAGACGGCUCUUGUACUUCUCUGGGCCCCUCCUACAUACCUUUGAAGAGCCCCAUUCCUCUGACCACACUAUACCGGUUAUAUAUAUAGUACCCUUGUGUCCCACCCUUGGGGGACUAAUCUCAAUCUCCCUACUCCUCUUCAGCAAUCUCAUCCCUUAUUUCUGCUCAAAUCAUCACCUGCAUUCCAAUAAUUGCCAAUAUUUAUUUCUAGCCCACAGCACUUCCCCCAGCAAACUUGAAAAUCAAACUAUCUGAUGGUCAUUCCCAUCAAAUAUCCAUAGGCAUCUCAAACUUAGCAUAUCCAACACUGAAUUCUUUUUUUUUUUUUUUUUUUUUUUUGUAGUCAGGGUCUCAUUCUGUCGCCCAGGCUGGAGUGCAGUGGUGCAAUCACAGCUCAUUUCAGCCUUGAACUCCUGGGCUCAAGUGAUCCUCCUACUUCAGACUCCCCAGUAGCUGGGAUUACAGGCAUGCGCCAACACACCUGUCUAGUUUUUCUUUAUUUUUAAAGACAGGGUCUCACUGUGUGACCCAGGCUGGUGAAUUCAUUGUUUGAUCCCUAAUGUGCUCCUCCACCUUUAUGUCCUAUCUCAGUUGGUGGCCUCAGCAUUCACCCUAAAGAUCCUAGAAAUAGUCCUCAAUUUCUCUAACUCCUACCUCCACUCCCAUGCGCUCAGUUUCCAAGUUCUGCUGGUUUUACUUCCUAAGUCUUAUUUGACUCUGUCCUUUCUCCUCCCUUCCAGUCUCCCCAGUUCUGCCUCUAAUCCUCAACCUCUCUAGUCUGGAAUGUUGCAUUAGUCCCUAACUAGUCACCCUGGCUUCUUCCUUCAAGCCCAGUAAAGAAGUAAGAGUGGGCCAGGCGUGGUGGCUCAUGCCUAUAAUCCCAGCACUUUGGGAGGCCAAGGCGGGUGGAUCACUAGGUCAAGAGAUCGAGACCAUCCUGGUCAACAUGAUGAAACCCCGUCUCUACUAAAAAUACAAAAAAUUAGCUGGGCGUGGCGGUGCGCGCCUGUAGUCCCAGCUACUUGGGAGGCUGAGGCAGGAGAAUUGCUUGAACCCAGAAGACGGAGGUUGUGGUGAGCCGAGAUCAUGCCAUUGCACUCCAGUCUGGGUAACAACAGUGAAACUCUGUCUCAAAAAAAAAAAAAAAAAAAAAGAAGAGUGAGCUACAUAAACACAAAUCUGAUUCAAUCAUUUUUUUGUUUGAAAAUCUUCAAAUAGUUCUUCUUCAAUUAACUGUAAAGCUCAUAGCAGGGGUUUAUGGUUAUAUACAACAUAUCUUCCUGGUUACACACAACAUCAGUUUUUCUCAGACUUGGAUGGGCACACUUCAUUUUUAUAUAAAAAUAAACACCAUUGUAUAAUAGAAUACAAUGCAUAAUUUGCACUAAGUUUAAUUAUAACAUUUGGAAACUGAAAAUCCAGUGCCUUAGUGGCCCAUACCUAUGAUUGCUUAACCUCAACCCCUCUUCACUCCUCCUUCCCGCAGUAAGUUCUAUUUGUUAUUUCUUGUCAUUCCCAAGGGAUGUCUCCCAUGUAUUCCAUAGAAGCCAGGCAUUUCAUAUACUUUAUGUGCUAUGGUAGUCCCAGAGUCUAGAAUAAGAUCUGGCACAUAAUAGGUACUCGGUAAAUAUUUAUUGAGUAAAUAAAUGAACCAACAACCAGUCUGCCAGCUGACUUCACUACAAGGCUAGAUGUGCUUUGUCCUUUCACUUUGGCUCUGUGAUAUGGUUUCGAUUUGGUCCCCUCCAAAUCUCACGUUGAAUUGUCAUCCCCAGUGUUGGAGGUGGGGACUGGUAGGAGGUAUUUGGGUCAUGGGAGGGAAUCUCAGUUCUAUCUCAGUUGGUGGCCUCACCAUCCACCCUAAGAAUCCUGGAAAUUGCAGUAAUGAGUGAUUUCUUGCUCUGAGCUCACAUUGGUCGUUAAAAAGAGUGUGGUACAAACCCCCCCACACCACAUCUUGCUCCCCCUCUCACCAUGUGAGAUGCCUGCUCCUGCUUCACUUUCCACCAUGAGUGAAAGCUCCCUGAGGCUUCCUGAGAAGCUGAGCAGAUGACGGUGCCAUGUUUCCUGUACAGCCUCCAGAACCAAGAAUCAAUUAAACUUCUUUUCUUUAUAAA